rnacentral:rRNA from 1 species
UUGUCCGGAAUCACUGGGCGUAAAGGGCGCGUAGGCGGCUUAUCAAGUCAGGCGUGAAAUUCCCGGGCUCAACCUGGGGGCUGCGCUUGAUACUGAUUGGCUUGAAUGCGGGAGAGGAUAGUGGAAUUCCCAGUGUAGAGGUGAAAUUCGUAGAUAUUGGGAAGAACACCGGUGGCGAAGGCGGCUAUCUGGCCCGUAAUUGACGCUGAGGCGCGAAAGCGUGGGGAGCAAACAGG